rnacentral:rRNA from 1 species
UACGGAGGGUGCGAGCGUUGUCCGGAAUCACUGGGCGUAAAGGGCGCGUAGGCGGUCUCUUAAGCGUGUGGUGAAAGCCCGGGGCUCAACUCCGGGUCGGCCGUGCGAACUGGGGGACUGGAGCUUGUCAGAGGCAGGCGGAAUUCCGGGUGUAGCGGUGGAAUGCGUAGAGAUCCGGAAGAACACCGGUGGCGAAGGCGGCCUGCUGGGACAGUGCUGACGCUGAGACGCGAAAGCGUGGGGAGCAAACAGG